rnacentral:rRNA from 1 species
GACGAACGCUGGCGGCGUGCUUAACACAUGCAAGUCGAACGGAAAGGCCCUGCUUUUGUGGGGUGCUCGAGUGGCGAACGGGUGAGUAACACGUGAGUAACCUGCCCUUGACUUUGGGAUAACUUCAGGAAACUGGGGCUAAUACCGGAUAGGAGCUCCUGCUGCAUGGUGGGGGUUGGAAAGUUUCGGCGGUUGGGGAUGGACUCGCGGCUUAUCAGCUUGUUGGGGGGGUAGUGGCUUACCAAGGCUUGGACGGGUAGCCGGCCUGGGAGGGUGACCGGCCACAUUAGGACUGAGAUACGGCCCAGACUCCUACGGGAGGCAGGAGUGGGGAAUAUUACACAGUGGGCGGAAGCCUGAUGCAGCAACGCCGCGUGCGGGAUGACGGCCUUCGGGUUGUAAACCGAUUUCGCCUGUGACGAGGCGUGAGUGACGGUAAUGGGUAAAGAAGCACCGGCUAACUACGUG